rnacentral:rRNA from 1 species
CGCGGGGCAACCUGGCGACGAGUGGCGAACGGGUGAGUAAUGCAUCGGAACGUGCCCAGUAGUGGGGGAUAGUCCGGCGAAAGCCGGAUUAAUACCGCAUACGACCUACGGGUGAAAGCGGGGGACUCGCAAGAGCCUCGCGCUAUUGGAGCGGCCGAUGUCAGAUUAGCUAGUUGGUGGGGUAAAAGCCUACCAAGGCGACGAUCUGUAGCUGGUCUGAGAGGACGACCAGCUAUACUGGGACUGAGACACGGCCCAGACUCCUACGGGAGGCAGCAGUGGGGAAUUUUGGACAAUGGGCGCAAGCCUGAUCCAGCCAUGCCGCGUGCGGGAAGAAGGCCUUCGGGUUGUAAACCGCUUUUGUCAGGGAAGAAACGCUCUGGGCUAAUACCCCGGGGUAAUGACGGUACCUGAAGAAUAAGCACCGGCUAACUACGUGCCAGCAGCCGCGGUAAUACGUAGGGUGCAAGCGUUAAUCGGAAUUACUGGGCGUAAAGCGUGCGCAGGCGGUUAUGCAAGACAGAUGUGAAAUCCCCGGGUUUAACCUGGGAACUGCAUUUGUGACUGCAUAGCUAGAGUACGGUAGAGGGGGAUGGAAUUCCGCGUGUAGCAGUGAAAUGCGUAGAUAUGCGGAGGAACACCGAUGGUGAAGGUAAUCCCCUGGACCUGUACUGACGCUCAUGCACGAAAGCGUGGGGAGCAAACAGGAUUAGAUAUCCUGGUAGUCCACGCCCUAAACGAUGUCAACUGGUUGUUGGACGGCUUGCUGUUCAGUAACGAAGCUAAUGCGAGAAGUUGACCGCCUGGGGAGUACGGCCGCAAGGUUGAAACUCAAAGGAAUUGACGGGGACCCGUACAAGCGGUGGAUGAUGUGGUUUAAUUCGAUGCAAUGCGAAAAACCUUACCUACCCUUGACAUGUCAAGAAUCUUGCAGAGAUGUGAGAGUGCUCGAAAGAGAACUUGAACACAGGUGCUGCAUGGCCGUCGUCAGCUCGUGUCGUGAGAUGUUGGGUUAAGUCCCGCAACGAGUGCAACCCUUGUCAUUAGUUGCUAUGAAAGGGCACUCUAAUGAGACUGCCGGUGAUAAACCGGAGGAAGGUGGGGAUGACGUCAGGUUUUCAUGGCCCUUAUGGGUAGGGUUACACACGUCAUACAAUGGCCGGUAUAGAGGGUUGCUAACCCGCGAGGGGGAGCUAAUCCCAGAAAACCGGUCGUAGUCCGGAUCGCAGUCUGUAAUUUGACUGCGUGAAGUCGGAAUCGCUAGUAAUCGCGGAUCAGUUUGCCGCGGUGAAUACGUUCUCGGGUCUUGUAUAUACCGCCCGUCACACCAUGGGAGCGGGUUCUGCCAGAAGUAGUUAGCCUAACCGCAAGGGGGGCGAUUACCACGGCAGGGUUCGUGACUGGGGUGAAGUCGAAAUAAGGUA